ensembl:lncRNA
GCAGAUUUUUAUCAUCACUUUUAUAUAGAGGGAGAGACAUCUCCCUCUCAGUUCCUUGCAGGCUGGGUUUGGGGAGGGAGUGUACUUGCUUUUUCACACAGACUCCACAGGCUCGUUGCUGCUUGUGUAACUUACUUCCUCUGGAAGUAAAACAGUGUGUUCUGUUGGUUUAAGGAGCUUUUCAUAAGGCAAAUAAUAAGAAAAAAUAAGAAAGAAAAAAAGAAAAUAAAUUGAUUCUGUGCCAAUACAUUUUCCAGCUCCUGUACAGAAGGGGACUGAAACAGUUUAUAGUGAAAUCAGAAAAGCUAAUAAUGAUUCUAUGGAAAACAGGCAUUCUAGAAUAUCAGGGCAUCCUGAUGCUACUUAGAACAGUCAUCUCAAAGAUCAGCUGGGAGAAGAAAACAAGCCAAGAUGGAAGAUGUUGCAAAUGUUUCAAAGGCUCUGCAGCAGUUAUUUAUGAGUUUGCCAGACUCUUCUUUUCAAAGUUUAUUUCCUUAGCGGGAACAAUAGAGAUGUUCCUAAAGCAUUUAAUGGAAAAAAUUGAGAAUAAAAAUUCUCAUAGGAAAGUGGCUCUAGAAACCACUGACCCAGGUUCUCAUUUUUAUUUUCUCCUGCUAAUGCAAUUUUGCCUUUUUUUUUGCCUCCAAUUCAUCAUUCUCUGAGGAAACAAAAGGGGAAGUUAGAGCUGAGGAAGCACAUUUCUACAGUGCAGUGACUACUGGGAUGCCAGUAGGACAUAGAAAUAUCUAAGCUUGCUUUGAACUUGCUACCUUGGUUAUCAGUGACACUUCUGUGGCAGAGCAGAGCUCAGCACAGCUUGGCCAGCCAUGGAUGUACUUUCUGAUCCUGCAGCUUGUGCUGAACUCCCUGUGCUGCAGCAGCUGGACUGCUACCAGGCUUGGAGCCAGCUCACUUAUAGCCCUGGGGAUGCUUCACUGCAGGGAGGGCCUGACAGAAGAGAGAACUCUGGGUGCUCGAAAAACUUAAAUAACUGUUGGGAGAUUCAGACUUUACCAAGUGCUUCUGUCAGGAGGGGCACAAAUAGUCUUUAUUCUUUGCUAAACUGCUUUUCCCCUUUAAAAGGUCUGGUGCUUGUUGGUUAGUUUGGUGUGAUGGUUCUUCAAGAAAUGAUUGUCCAUCACAGUUGUUUUGGAUGAUUCUAUGAUAGGUCUUCAGGGAGUGGAUAUACUGCACCCAGGUCAGUGAGUUUAUACCUGAAAAUCCUGUUAUGUAUAAUCCUUAUUCCUUUGAUUUUAGGAGCGAUCUGAAGUCAUACUUGUGCCCAGUUUCUCCAGUAUGGAACUCCAUACCUAACCUUUUUCUGUAUAGCAUGAUAAACCACUAACAUGGAUCCAGUCUGGACCUGGAUCUAAUCUCUGCAGCCCAUGUUUAUCUCAGCUGCAUUAGUUUAAAAAAAGAACAUAAAACAAACCAGAAAAAAUGCUGUCCCUAGCCCCGUAACCAGCUGGCCUUUGGCACUGCAAUUGCUCUCCUUUUCUUACUGCAGAUUAAAUUACUACAAGAUCUGGGCCACAGGUAAGAAAGUUCUCAUUUUCAUUAGAAAAUAGUGAAAGAGAGGCCGUGGAUUGUGUAUACAUACAUAGUUACUGCUAUAAGCAUUGCAUCAAGGGUGCAAAACAACCACAAAACACAAAAGGGUUU